rnacentral:pre_miRNA from 1 species
AAAAAAGCAAACUGUGGGUUUCCGUGUCCAACUUUGACUGUCCGUCUUAUAUGAAUUUUUUUUAUAAUUUGUAUUUUCAUUGUUGUUAGAUGAUAAAACAUGAUUAAUAUUUUAUACGUGACUUGUCUUUUUAAUUUUUUUCAUAUUUUUUUCAAAUAGGACGGACGGUCAAACGUUGGACACGGAAACCAGGGUUUGUCUUUUU